rnacentral:rRNA from 1 species
UACAGAGACUGCAAGCGUUAUUCGGAUUCACUGGGCGUAAAGGGUGCGCAGGCGGUUGUGUGUGUCAGGUGUGAAAGCCCGGGGCUUAACCCCGGAAUUGCGCCUGAAACUACAUGACUAGAGCAUUGGAGAGGGUAGCGGAAUUCACGGUGUAGCAGUGAAAUGCGUAGAUAUCAGUAGGAACACCAAUGGCGAAGGCAGCUUGCUGGCAUGUAUCUGACGCUAAGGCACGAAAGCGUGGGGAGCGAACAGG